GGAGAGGUGCGAGAGUGGUUGAAUCGGGCGGUCUCGAAAACCGUUGUGCCGCUAGCCGGUACCGUGGGUUCGAAUCCCACCCUCUCCG
rnacentral:tRNA from 1 species